rnacentral:rRNA from 1 species
AUUGAACGCUGGCGGCAGGCCUAACACAUGCAAGUCGAACGAGUGGCGGACGGGUGAGUAAUGUCUGGGAAACUGCCUGAUGGAGGGGGAUAACUAUUGGAAACGGUAGCUAAUACCGCAUACCAUCGGAUGUGCCCAGAUGGGAUUAGCUAGUAGGUGGGGUAAAGGCUCACCUAGGCGACGAUCCCUAGCUGGUCUGAGAGGAUGACCAGCCACACGGGGACUGGGCCACGGUCCAGAAUCCUACGGGAGGCAGCAGUGGGGAAUAUUGCACAAUGGGCGCAAGCCAUAUGCAGCCAUGCCGCGUGUAUGAAGAAGGCCUGCGUGUUGUAAAGUACUUACAGCGGGGAGGCGUUACCCGCAGGAGAAGCACCGGCUAACUCCGUGCCAGCCACCGCGGUAAUUC